UACGUAUGGUGCAAGCGUUAUCCGGAUUUACUGGGCGUAAAGGGAGCGUAGGCGGCGCGUUAAGUCUGAUGUGAAAACCCGAGGCUCAACCACGGGAGUGCAUUGGAAACUGGCGUGCUGGAGUGCCGGAGAGGUAAGCGGAAUUCCUAGUGUAGCGGUGAAAUGCGUAGAUAUUAGGAGGAACACCAGUGGCGAAGGCGGCUUACUGGACGGCAACUGACGCUGAGGCUCGAAAGCGUGGGGAGCAAACAGG
rnacentral:rRNA from 1 species